AGAGUUUGAUUCUGGCUCAGGAUGAACGCUAGCGAUAGGCCUAACACAUGCAAGUCGAGGGGUAACAGGGGAGCUUGCUCCCGCUGACUACCGGCGGAUGGGUGAGUAACAAGUAUGCAACCUACCUUUCACACGGGCAUAACCCGGAGAAAUCCGGACUAAUUUCCGAUAAUAUUUAUGAAUCGCCUGGUUUAUAAAUUAAAGAUUCAUCGGUGAAAGAUGGGCAUGCGUAUGAUUACCUAGUUGGUGUGGUAAUGGCACACCAAGGCAACGAUCAUUAGGGGUUCUGAGAGGAAGGUCCCCCACUCUGGUACUGAGACACGGACCAGACUCCUACAGGAGGCAGCAAUGAGGAAUAUUGGUCAAUGAGCGCGAGCUUGAACCAUCCACGUCGCGUGCAGGAAGACGGUCUUAUGGAUUGUAAACUGCUUUUACACAGGAAUAAAGUGAGAUACGGGAUAUUUUAUUGCAAGUACUGUGAGAAUAAGGAUCGGCUAACUCCGUGCCAGCAGCCGCGGUAAUACGGAGGAUCCGAGCGUUAUCCGGAUUUAUUGGGUUUAAAGGGUGCGUAGGCGGAGUAGUAAGUCAGCGGUGAAAUUUUGCAGCUUAACUGUAAACGUGCCGUUGAAACUGUUAGUCUUGAGUGUAGAUAAGGUAGGCGGAAUGUGUUGUGUAGCGGUGAAAUGCAUAGAUAUGACACAGAACCCCGAUUGCGAAGGCAGCUUACCGGGCUACCACUGACGGUGAGAGCACGAAAGCGUGGGGAUCAAACAGGAUUAGAUACCCUGGUAGUCCACGCAGUAAACGAUGAUUACUCGCUGUUUGCGAUAUACCGUAAGCGGCCAAGCGAAAGCAUUAAGUAAUCCACCUGGGGAGUACGUUCGCAAGAAUGAAACUCAAAGGAAUUGACGGGGGCCCGCACAAGCGGAGGAACAUGUGGUUUAAUUCGAUGAUACGCGAGGAACCUUACCCGGGCUUGAAAUGCAUCUGACAGACUCUGAAAGGGGCUUUCUAGCAAUAGCAGAUGUGUAGGUGCUGCAUGGUUGUCGUCAGCUCGUGCCGUGAGGUGUCGGCUUAAGUGCCAUAACGAGCGCAACCCUUGUCAUUAGUUGCCAUCAGGUCAAGCUGGGGACUUUAAUGAGACUGCCACCGUAAGGUGUGAGGAAGGGGGGGAGGACGUCAAAUCAGCACGGCCCUUAUGUCCGGGGCGACACACGUGUUACAAUGGGAGGUACAGAGGGCAGCUAUCCGGCGACGGAAUGCUAAUCUCCAAAACCACUCUCAGUCCGGAUUGGAGUCUGCAACUCGACUCCAUGAAGGUGGAUUCGCUAGUAAUCGCGCAUCAGCCACGGCGCGGUGAAUAAGGGCCCGGGCCUUGUACUCACCGCCCGUCA
rnacentral:rRNA from 1 species